rnacentral:ribozyme from 1 species
CGCAGAGCACACGGAAGCGAACCUGCUCCCGUGUAAUGCGGCAGCCCCGGUUGCAAGCCCGG